ensembl:lncRNA
UGCUGGGAAGAGCUAUUGAAACCACAGAAAUGUGAAUGGUGCUGCCACAUAGCUGUGAGCGAGUUCCUCUUGUGUCUAUCCUGUUGAAUUAGCUUUCACAAUGAGUAACUUAGGCACAGUGCUGCCAAGCCCACAUGCACAUGGAAAGGGAACUUUCACCUUGUUAUGAGCAGCUCAUUAUCCUGAAGGAACAGCAUCUUCCAAUGUAUUUGAGAUGGAACCUAUAAAAUGGCAUGUUUGACUUCACCCAUUUAUAAAAAGUGGGGAAGAGAUUUCCUAUUCUUUUCACAUUCAAACCUUUGAAAUUACUGCUCGUCAGGUCUGACCUACAGUCAGUGGCACUACAUGCAUUUGGCUGUCCCUCUGGAAUGUUUGUGUUUAUCUUAGUCUCUUUCUAGCAAAUCAAUUCUGAGCACAGCAGAUACCAAACCUCACUCUGCCUCCCACCAAAUAUGGUCUUCAUGUAGGAGGACUUGAUGACUUUCAUCUGGAAGGCUGAAGUACAUGGGAAGUUAAAGCUGCAUUUGCACAGACUUCUGGGAACUGGUAUUUUCUGGCCACCUUAGGAACAGAGGGUGUAGUAUCAACUGGUUUCCUUCUAGUUUGUAGCAUAAGAGGACUAAGGCAUCUUGCAUCCUUUUGUUUCCUUUCAUGGAAGUCAAGACACAAUCAACCAUUGAUUACUUUCUGUAAUAGACACAUUUUCUAAUACAGAAAUAUUUUCUUGUCAAGACAGAGAAUUUUACUUUUUCACAAAUAUUGUUCUGAUCUUAUUGAUACAAACUCCUAAGUAACAUUAACUUUACACAUAGAAUCAACAGGGCAGGGACAGAAAGGAGGCUAAUUUUGUUUCUUCAGCUGCUGAUGUGCUGCUUUUGUGCUGCUGUUACCACUUAUCAAGAAUUAGUUGUCUUUUCAUUUCUUGGUGCCACUGUACAAUUUGGAAAGUCACCACUAAGAUGGUUACAUACCAAGACAUACUAGGGAAUGCCCAAAAAAUGUAGGGCAAGAAAUCAGCAUAUUUAACUUCUCUUGCUUGGAGCAGAGUUUUGAAAACAAGGUGGGAAACAGAUGAGAGGGCAGAUGAUCAGAGGCUGGGCUGCUAAGCAGAACUAGCAACAGAGGUGGCUAAAUCAUCCAUUAGUGAAGGAUACUUUUAAAUCUCACUGGAAAGUUUCCUGGAGAACUGUACUUCAUUAAAUUAAUAAAAAAACCUACACAAGUAAAUAACAGUCCUACACUUUUUAUGCCAUGUCAGGUAGAGUUUUACAUCACAUAGUCUUAAGGAGGAGUUCUUGUAAAUAAUUCUUUACAUAAUAAUCAAGUAGAAUUUGGAAAUCCACCACAAAACACCAAAUGCUGCUUUUACCUGAAUUUACUGUGAAUUUUGUUUUCAGCUAUAGUUUGGGCAUGAGAUGUAGCCUCCAAUUCUUUCAAAAAUAAUUAAACAAAUCCUUAAGGAAUCUGCAUUCAGAUGUGCACUUUCUUGUUUUUUGAGUUCUUUUAGAAAAAUCUGUUCCUCUAUACAGACCAGACAUUGGUUCAAGUUCUUGUCUUAAAUUUGGAGGACAACAUUUUCUGCAGUCUCUCUGUCUCUACAUGGUUAGUAGCCAAUAUUUUCUGAACUAGGAUGGCCUUUUCUAUUGGGAUUGAGCCAUAUAAAGUGGAUAAUCAUAGCAGAUGGAGACGGAAAACCACUAUUUGGUGAGCAAGGCCAUUCUCCUUUAAGGAUGGACUGCAGUCUCAGUGAUGGAUGUAUCAGAUUAAAUUGUCAUUACAAUUUGAUUUUGCCAGGCAUCUUCAAAAAUUAUUUACUUAUUUAUGUAAGGGAGAGCUUCAAGUGUAGAGAGGUGA